GCCCCGAGAUGAGUUCUCCCUGACCCUUUAAGGGUCCUGAAGGAACGUUGAAGACGACGACGUUGAUAGGCCGGGUGUGUAAGCGCAGCGAUGCGUUGAGCUAACCGGUACUAAUGAACCGUGAGGCUUAACCUUACAACGCCGAAGGUGUUU
rnacentral:rRNA from 1 species